GACGAACGCUGGCGGCGUGCCUAAUACAUGCAAGUAGAACGCACAGUUUAUACCGUAGCUUGCUACACCAUAGACUGUGAGUUGCGAACGGGUGAGUAACGCGUAGGUAACCUGCCUGGUAGCGGGGGAUAACUAUUGGAAACGAUAGCUAAUACCGCAUAAUAUUGAUUAUUGCAUGAUAAUUAAUUGAAAGGUGCAAUUGCACCACUACCAGAUGGACCUGCGUUGUAUUAGCUAGUAGGUGAGGUAACGGCUCACCUAGGCGACGAUACAUAGCCGACCUGAGAGGGUGGUCGGCCACACUGGGACUGAGACACGGCCCAGACUCCUACGGGAGGCAGCAGUAGGGAAUCUUCGGCAAUGGACGAAAGUCUGACCGAGCAACGCCGCGUGAGUGAAGAAGGUUUUCGGAUCGUAAAGCUCUGUUGUAAGAGAAGAACGGGUGUGAGAGUGGAAAGUUCACACUGUGACGGUAUCUUACCAGAAAGGGACGGCUAACUACGUG
rnacentral:rRNA from 1 species